UUCAUUAUUAACAUAUUCCUUUCCGUUAUCUGUCUGCAAGAUUUUUAUUUUAUUUCCUGUAUAUCUUUCCAUUUCCUUUUUAUAUUCUAUAAACUUUCCUAAAACUUCAUUUUUAUUUUUCAGAAAAUAGACUCUGCCAUAUCUGCUGUAUUCAUCCGUAAAGGUGACGAAGUAUCUGUGAUCUCCGUUACUAUUUACGGGCAUUGGACCACACACAUCUGAGUGUAUUGUAUGUAGUUUUUGAGGAGCUUUUGUUUCUUCAGGCCUUUCCUUCGGAAAAGUAAUUCGUGCUACGGAUAUCAAAUUAGUUGAUAACUCUGGAAUAUAUAAGAUUUUUAUUUAAACGAGCUUCACUUUCUUCAAUAAUUUUUGUUUUGAGUUCUUCGAGGUACGGAAGUUUGUCACGGGACUCGAUUGCCACUCUGAAGUUCUCGUAGGAAUCUGGCAAACUGUAUAAUAACAUUAUGCUCAGGAGGUCUUCAUUGAUGCUGAUGUCCAUGUCUUUUAAUUUAUCCACCAAGUCGAUGAAUUCAUUUAUGUGAUCUCUGGCGGAUUCAUCAUGUUUCAUUUUUUUGUGUAGUAACUUUUUUAAUAAUGUUGCUUUUCGUGCAGGUCCACGACUUUCGUAGGCGUUUUUAAGGGUCUCCCAUACGUCUUUUGCUGUUUUGCAUGAUUUUACUAAUUUAAGUUGGGACGGC